rnacentral:lncRNA from 1 species
UUAAUAUAUUCAGAUUAAUAUACACAGGUAUAUUGAACUAAUUUCUUAUUCUUUGAUAUUUUGGUUUUUCAUUUAAGUUUAUACACCUGUGUGCAUCUAUGAUAGUUUUUAAAUAAAAUAUUAGGUCAAAGGUUCUAAAGGGUAGACAGAUGUCAUGCAGGUGAGUGUCAGUAUUAGACAUUGCCACUUUUCUCACAUUUGGGAACUCUUUGAUUGCAAUGGAAAAAUGAAGAAGACUUCGAUUAUAAUAGAUUUUUAUAAAUCAGUUACUUAAACAUUAUAUAAAUAGAAUAAGACCACAAUUUCCCUGCACUUUAAAAGCUGGGCAUAAUUUUGAUUCCUCCAUCUCCUUUCCCGACAUACAACGAAUCAUUAAGUCCUGUCUGUUUCACUUUCAUAGUGUGUUUCCAACCUUCCUUCUUCUCCAACCCUUCUGACACUGUUAUAGUCCAGGUCCCAUGUUUGCAUUCCUGAGUUUUCAACAUUGCUCUUUGUUUAGGUUUUUUGUCUCUUAUCUUUCUUUUUACUGUAACAUUUCCCAAGUGUUUUCCAUGAGACACUGGUCCCAUGAGAUACAUGACCAAAGAAGUCCCAUGACAAAAUUAUGCAAUCUUACUUAUUCUCUUCCCUCUUGGGGAUACACCAAGCAUAUCAGUUUGCUAGAUUUUCUAGAAAAUCCUAGAGCUAAACAAUCAAAACCAACAAAAACAGUAAGAAAAUUUUUAUUUAGCUUGCUUGAACAUAAAAUAUACUAAUCCUAACUCACACAUUCUUUCAACAAAUGACUGUUUGUACGAUUACCAUGAGUGAUGGCCAGUUGUGUGAGUGUAUAAGUGUGUAGAUAUGUGUGUGUGUGACAUCUUUUAAGCACCAGUUGAACCUGUGCCUUAAGCAAACACUUUGGGUGUCACUUUUACAUUGCAUUUCACACAGCUGAUCAAGUAAUUUUUUAAAUACUAGAUAUAAUUAUAUAUUUUUGGAAAAAUUAUCCAGUAAAGUAGACAUUCUGAAUGACUACAGUGGCAUUCAAGAUCCUUUAGAGUUUCCCUUAGUCAUAAUGUUCCAGUCUGAUGUCCCAUUGCACCCCUGCAUCAUCAGAAAAUCAAAACAUAUCAAAGUUCUCUCUCCUCUCCAAAUAUGUCAUAACUUUCUCAGCUUUUUAUGCCUGAUUUCUGCUAUUUCUUCUGUUGACCUUCUCCAGUGAUAAUAUUUGGUUUACCACUAAUAGCAAAUAUUAAAAUCUUGCAAAAUCGUGCCUAUCUUCUCCAGUGGUCACUUCACUCAUAUCCUUCAAAUUUCAAUGAUGGCUUCUCUACAAAACAUUUUCUAAUGCCCUGAAAAAGCUGCCUCUUCUGUCUUAACAGCCUCCAGGUAGGCAGACUAGUGAUGUUCGCCUUCCUUUUAUAGAUGAGAAAACUGUUUGCAUAAUUGUGGGUUCUCUGCACAUUCUGUGAUCUUUGCUAACCAUCUGGUUACAUCUCAAAAGAUAAGAGGUUAGAGAGUGAAGAGGGUGGAGGGAGGGAGUGUCCAGGGACUUCUGGAAUCUCAAAGGGGGUGAACACUUAGCUAAGACACAAGAGGCCUUAACUAAAUCCCAAGUUUGUUUAUGGCUGUCAGAAAUGUACCUGGCAUGUUCAGUUCUGAUUUUCAGGGAUUUAAGUUUAGCUGGCAAAGGAAGUUGUAUAAACUCAGGAAAUGGGACAGGAAAAAAAUAUGAAAGAAAGCCAGAUAAUCAGAACCUAUUCAAUUCAUAAAAAUGUGUCAGCUUGAAUUAUAGUUCUGGGGGAGAUACUUGGUAUAGUUCACUAUUCAGUAACUAUUGGCCUUUUGGGUCCCUAAAUUAGCUGUUUACUGACUUAUUUAAGCCAAUCGUUAAAAUCUCCACAUUCUGAACAAACUGCGAGGAUUGUGGGGCAAGCAUGAUGAGUACGAUUAUUAACAGCCUACGUUUUAUUGACGUGUAAAACUAUGUAGAAUGAUUUUACAUCUAGAAUACUCACCAUAAUACCCAUUUUAUAGAAUGGAAAGCUAAGACUAGCUUCUGAUAAUGUUAAGUGACUAUUCAGAGCUAACAGAAACAGGAAUGACAGAGUUAGGCCUUGAAGCCAUGUAUUAUAAAUCCUAGUGAUGUCAAGAGGGUUCGCAUAGCAUGGAGUGAUUUAGUAAGCACCUACUUCUCGGUUUUUAGGACUGCCAGGCAUUGAGGAAGCAGAGGCAUCCAUGAGACAGAGAGAGGGAAGUCAGAGGGCAUGAAGCUCUGCAGAUAUAAUGUUGAGGGCAAGGACAGGGGCCAGAGCCUGUCUUCCUGGUUUGUUCUUCCUGCCUCUGGCUCUUGUCUUUUAUCAGGAAUGAAAGCAUUACCUGUGUUAUCUGAACAAUGGUCUAAUCUCUUUCAGUACCUGGUGCUGAGAUAGAUUUGGCUAGAACACAUUGGGAAGGGAUUUAUGUAAGACUUGAAUAUGUUAUUAACUGUGGGCAGCUGGAGUUUUAGAUAAAUGAUGAUGAAUAUAUGUUUAUUAUUUUGAUCACUUAUUUUAUAAUGUUUCUUGAAAGUUUACUCUGUGUCAGAUAUCAUGCAUAGCUCUCAGCUGUAUGAAACAGACGAAGCCCUUUGUAUUUAAGGGGCCCAGACUCCAACAGACAUAGUGAUAAGGUAAAUCUUAAUCUAUCUGGGGCAUCUGGAACAUUUCAAUAGACAAAAUUAUGGAUAUGUUUUCUGGAAGCAUAGACACACACAUAUGUGUACUCAUACACUUUUACUUAUGGGCAUGAGAUGAGAAAUUCAGAAUCUAUUUAGACUUCUCUAAAGACCAAACAUUUCCCUCCUAGACAUCCAUAAACCUCAGGUAAAGGAUUCUAGGACAGAGCAUCAUUAAUGUGAACAAAUUUUUAUUGCUUCCUACAGUAUUCAGGGCAGUAGGAAUAAAAGGGUAAUGUCCAAUUGACUGUUGUCAACUCACAUCACUACCACAUCCUUGUAAAUCUCCAUGACAUUGUGGAAAGGCAGACAAAUUACAUUCUCAAGGACCUUUUUGCGCAGUGUGUAGUAGUUCUAGGUUAGAACUUGAUAGUGAGAGACAUUAGAUCUGGAAAGCAGAAGAGAGUAAGAAUCCAUUAUCAACUGAGAUAUUUCUAGUCAUUUACAUUAGAAAGUCAUGAAAUUUGCAAUGGCUUGCCAGGAAGCUUUUAAAAAACACAUAUACUCAGUACAAUGGACUGAGAUGGAUGGCAGGAGCUUCCCAGAGAUUCUUUUGAAUUCAAGUUGUGUUCUGGAUAAUGCCUGAGAACAACCCACUUCUGUGUUUCAGGAUGAGGUCUGCAAUGACAACUUUCUGAUCCUUGCUCCCUCAGCUUCCAGUGGUUGGAUGAUGAAACUGAGGAUGAGAAAAGACAAGGACACAGGACCACAGAGACAGUGGGAGAAGUAGGAGCAGAUCACGGCUUCCUUAUAAUUGCGCGAUUAUCUCCGCACCAGAGCACAUUAUAUCUGGCCAAAUUGACUUUUCACAAGAUGACAAAAGUCACUUAACAAGCCAGGAGCUAUGUGCUGCUUGACCCACCACUCUAGCCAUUGCAUGGAAAGCCUCUUCAUGAUAUAAGAAAAUGAAAUCAAACCAUAAGGUGAAGCAGGACAAGAAGCAGGAAGAUCUACCGGACAGAUGGAGAAGAGUGAUGUAAAAGAGGAUGCAUGGAAAGAGGCCAUUUUGGAGUCAGAUGGAUCUGAUUUUGAAUUCCAACUUUAUUACCUACCAACUCUGUGAACUGUAAGCAAGUUUCCUCAUUUGUAAAUGGGGGUAAAUUACCCUUCUCAGCAUGAUUGUGCAUCUUAAAUGGAAAAAACAGCAUGAAAGUAUUUAUCCCAGUACCUCAUACAUUAAAGAUACUUAGAUAAAGUCUCUUCACUUCUUCUUUCUUUAUCUUCCCUUUGACACAAGUCUACCUAGGCUGAUUAUGUUGAACCUUUGAGAGAUGAUCAGAGAAAAAUGGAGCGACAGAGAGAGAGAGAGAGAGGCAGAGGAAGGCAGUGGGCAAAGACAGAAGUGAGUCAGAGGAAAAUCUGAUGGUGGUUAUAGAGUAAUGAAAUAGCUGUUAUUGACCACAGUCAAAACACAGCCUAGUCUUUAAGCCUUGCAUUAGGCAUUCUUUUUCCUCUGCCCAAUCCACACGUGUAACACAGCCAUAAAUCACUGUCCUUCAUAAGCAACAGACAGUAAGUGCCAUGAGCAGUAGUGACAAUAUUUAUCACCAGGUAAGCAGUUCCAUAUAGGGGUUGCUUGGGCCAAGCUCCUAACCAUUUGGAAGAACUGCAACCACUAUGCCUCAUGCCUUCUGUCCUAGGCUUUUUUGGAAUAAGGGGUGUGAAAACAAGGCUGGCCACGGAAUGUAAAGCAACUGGCUUCUAGUUCACCUUUUAUGUGGUCACAAUGGAGACAGGGACUCAAUGAGAUUGUCACUUGAUGUCCCUUCCAGUGUUUCAUAGAUCUGGGGCUCUGGGGCUCAUUGGAAGUACAUUUUAUCUCAUUUAAGCAGUUAGUGAUACAUUUGAUCAACCAUUCUGCUUCUAAGGAGAUUUUACUUGAUCUCAUCUUUGGUGAUGCUAAGACAAAUUAUUUUUUUGUAAUGGGUUGAGCUACAAAUUUGAGGUGGAAAUAAGAUAUUUUUAAUUGGUUUAAUGAUUUACACUAGUUCCCAGUUGCCUUAAUAACAUGAAUUCUAACUUUUGAGACUUCUCUCUUCUUCUGAUUUGUUCAAAACCUACAAGGCUCAAGUGUCCUAAAAAGAAAAGUUAGUCCAAGGUAUAAUAUAGGUCUGAAACUCUUCCAAGGGGUUAUUUGUUACUAACUUCAUCCUUAGAGGGCUGUGAGCAUUUUUCUUUGAAAUCCUAGAAGCAAUCUCUCUGUCUUUCUUUCUCAUCUACCCUAUUUUUCUCCCUUUUUUAAAUCUUUCCUUAAAAAUGCUAUGUUAAAAUUUCCCAACCUUCACCAAACUUGAAGCUAGGCAGAGGCAAGGAAAUACCAUAGGUUGACAAAUUAGAUAAGCUAAACUCUUAUUCUUAGGGAGAAAGUCCUUUAUCUCCGAUGUAUCUUUCUUUGAGUUUCUCUUUGAACUUGGCUUUUCUCAUCACAGAGGUGAUGCACUGGUAUAGGGAAAAGUAGUCAACCACGUGGCCCAGUUUAGUUCACUAUGUAAUCAUUCUGGA